rnacentral:lncRNA from 1 species
UGCUAACUCACCCUCUGCUUUCAGUUAUCCACUCACCUUUGUGUGCUCUCCAUAGGAAAAGAAAGCAAGCAGGCAAGAAUGAAAAACAGAACUAGCUAAAUAACUGGCAGUGUUUCGGGAGAAGCCCAUCCUAUCGCAGAGAGCGACAACAGCCUCGGUAUUAUGAUUUAUGGAGUGCUGGUGUCACUCUAACAAGCUGAAGGACACACAAUAUCAUCUCCAACAUCAUUAAAAUUCAGAAGCCUCUAGAACUAACUCAUCAACCACCGCGCAUUGUCACACGCUAUGGAGCUGAGCUGUUCCCCACUUGGAAAAUGCCUUCCGGACAGUCGUCAUCCUGAAUCAUCUGAUUAAAAGGAUACAAAGAGAAGGAACGGAAAGGAAAGGGGGAAAGAGAGAGAAGCCAAACUCCACGGACAUUCUGGAAAUGAGGGACCUGCAACGGUUUCAUACCCAUAGCAGAGCGGUGCUAUUAGUUCCUAUCACCUACAACAAAAUGAGUUCUCUGCCUUCUUCUGUUGCUGGAAUACGGGAGGCCCAAAAAGCAGGAGGUCUCCUGGAAAUAGCUGCUCCGUUCAAACCGCAGCUAUGAGGCCGCGACACGAUAAGCAAAAGCCGUGCAUUACUUUAGCUCAUGCUGUACCACGAAACUUCUAUUUUAUUGAAGUUCGGCUGUGCGCUCUGCCUCAGACCGCAGCUGUCCCUCC